rnacentral:rRNA from 1 species
GACGAACGCUGGCGGCGCGCCUAACACAUGCAAGUCGAACGGAGCGCACGAGAAGAUUUUCUUCGGAGAUGAUUUUUGUGUUGCUUAGUGGCGAACGGGUGAGUAACACGUGAAUAACCUACCCUAAAGUGGGGGACAACAUUUGGAAACAGAUGCUAGUACCGCAUAAGACUACGGUACCGCAUGGUACAGCAGCCAAAGGAGCCAUUCGCUUUAGGAUGGAUUCGCGCCUGAUUAGCUAGAUGGUGGGGUAACGGCCUAACAUGGCGACGAUCAGUAGCCGGACUGAGAGGUUGAACGGCCACAUUGGGACUGAGACACGGCCCAGACUCCUACGGGAGGCAGCAGUGGGGAAUAUUGCACAAUGGACGAAAGUCUGAUGCAGCGACGCCGCGUGAGGGAAGAAGGUUUUCGGAUUGUAAACCUCUGUCUUCGGGGACGAAACAAAUGACGGUACCCGGGGAGGAAGCCACGGCUAACUACGUGCCAGCAGCCGCAGUAA